AUAUAUUAUAUAUUACAGAUAAACUUCAAAAAUACUUAUCUUCCAUCUAGCAAUCCAGUAUCAGACUCUCUUAAAUUAUUUGCUGAAAAUGAAAUGAUGCUUACCGUAUCAUGGCAAUGAUAGCGAGACGAAACUUGGCGUAAGUUAUUUCCUUUGGGAAAUUCAAAUUACC